rnacentral:misc_RNA from 1 species
UUUCCGUAGGUGAACCUGCGGAAGGAUCAUUACUGAAUGCGUGGCCUUCGGGCCCGUCUUCUUCACCCUGUGUUUACCUUCCAGGUGCCGCGGGGACGUCUCGGUUCGCCGAGGCGUCGUCCGGCGCCGCAAACUCUGGAGACGAUGCGUCGUAGACAAAUCUAAUCCUUAUACAACUUUUAACAAUGGAUCUCUUGGUUCUGGCAUCGAUGAAGAACGCAGC